rnacentral:tRNA from 1 species
GACCGCGUAGCUCAGUUGGCAGAGCAUUGGGCUGGUAUUCCAAAGGUCGUAGGUUCGAUUCCCACCGUGGUCA